GACGAACGCUGGCGGCGUGCCUAAUACAUGCAAGUCGAACGCAGUGGGGACGGGUGAGGAACAAGUGGGUAACCUCCCAUCAGAGGGGAUAACACGUGGAAACAGGUGCUAAACCGAGACAGCUGGAUGGACCCGCGGCGCAUUGGCUAGUUGGUGAGGUAACGGCGCACCAAGGCCACGAUGCAUAGCCGUCCGGUGAGGGUGAUCGGCAAAGCUGGGACGGAGACCCGGCCCGGAGUCCGACGUGAGGCAGCAGUAGGGAAUCUUCGGCUAUGGACGAAAGUCUGACCGAGCAACGCGGCGUGAGUGAAGAGGGUUUGCGGGUAGUAAAACGCUGUUGUUAGAGGAGCGUUAUCUACCCAGAAAGCCACGGCUAACUACGUGCCAGCCGCCGCGGUAAUUC
rnacentral:rRNA from 1 species